UACGUAGGGGACCAGCGUUGUCCGGAUUUACUGGGCGUAAAGAGCGUGCAGGCGGUCGUUCAAGUCGAGUGUGAAAGCCCCCGGCUCAACUGGGGAGGGUCACUCGAUACUGAUCGACUGGAAGGCAGGAGAGGGAAGCGGAAUUCCCGGUGUAGUGGUGAAAUGCGUAGAUAUCGGGAGGAACACCAGUGGCGAAGGCGGCUUCCUGGCAUGUUAUUGACGCUGAGGCGCGAAAGCUAGGGGAGCAAACGGG
rnacentral:rRNA from 1 species